AUUGAACGCUGGCGGCAUGCCUUACACAUGCAAGUCGAACGGUAACGGGCCUUCGGGUGCCGACGAGUGGCGAACGGGUGAGUAAUAUAUCGGAACGUGCCCAGUAGUGGGGGAUAGCCCGGCGAAAGCCGGAUUAAUACCGCAUACGACCUGAGGGUGAAAGCGGGGGAUCGCAAGACCUCGCGCUAUUGGAGCGGCCGAUAUCAGAUUAGCUAGUUGGUGGGGUAAAGGCCUACCAAGGCAACGAUCUGUAGUUGGUCUGAGAGGACGACCGGCCACACUGGGACUGAGACACGGCCCAGACUACUACGGGAGGCAGCAGUGGGGAAUUUUGGACAAUGGGCGCAAGCCUGAUCCAGCAAUACCGCGUGCAGGAAGAAGGCCUUCGGGUUGUAAACUGCUUUAGUACGGAACGAAACGGUCUGGGUUAAUACCCUGGGCUAAUGACGGUACCGUAAGAAUAAGCACCGGCUAACUACGUGCCAGCCGCCGCGGUAAUAC
rnacentral:rRNA from 1 species